GACAGAGGGUGCAAACGUUGUUCGGAAUUACUGGGCGUAAAGCGAGUGUAGGCGGUUUCCUAAGUCGGAUGUGAAAGCCCCGGGCUCAACCCGGGAAGUGCACUCGAAACUGGGAGGCUAGAGUAUCGGAGAGGUUGGUGGAAUUCUCGGUGUAGAGGUGAAAUUCGUAGAUAUCGAGAGGAACACCGGUGGCGAAGGCGGCCAACUGGACGAAUACUGACGCUGAGACUCGAAAGCGUGGGGAGCAAACGGG
rnacentral:rRNA from 1 species